UGCAAGUCGAACGCGAAAGUCCCUUCGGGGGCGAGUAGAGUGGCGGACGGGUGAGUAAUACCUAGGAAUUUACCCUAGAGUGGGGGAUAACCCGAGGAAACUCGGGUUAAUACCGCAUACAUUCUUCGGAACAAAGCGGGGGACCUUUCGGGGCCUCGUGCUUUAGGAUGAGCUUAGGCCGGAUUAGCUUGUUGGUGAGGUAAAGGCUCACCAAGGCGACGAUCCGUAGCUGGUUUGAGAGGACGAUCAGCCACACUGGGACUGAGAUACGGCCCAGACUCCUACGGGAGGCAGCAGUGGGGAAUAUUGGACAAUGGGCGCAAGCCUGAUCCAGCAAUGCCGCGUGUGUGAAGAAGGCCUUCGGGUUGUAAAGCACUUUCAGUAGAGAAGAAAAGCAGACGGUUAAUACCCGUGUGUUUUGACGUUAUCUACAGAAGAAGCACCGGCUAACUCUGUGCCAGCAGCCGCGGUAAUACAGAGGGUGCAAGCGUUAAUCGGAAUUACUGGGCGUAAAGCGCGCGUAGGCGGGCAUUUAAGUCGGAUGUGAAAGCCCUGGGCUUAACCUGGGAAUUGCAUUCGAUACUGGGUGCCUAGAGUAUGGUAGAGGGUAGUGGAAUUCCCGGUGUAGCGGUGAAAUGCGUAGAUAUC
rnacentral:rRNA from 1 species